rnacentral:rRNA from 1 species
GACAGAGGGUGCAAACGUUGCUCGGAAUCACUGGGCGUAAAGGGCGUGUAGGCGGGAAGGAAAGUCAGAUGUGAAAGUCCAGGGCUCAACCCUGGGAUGCCGGUGGAUACUGCUGGGCUAGAGUACGGAAGAGGCGAGUGGAAUUCCCGGUGUAGCGGUGAAAUGCGCAGAUAUCGGGAGGAACACCUAUUGCGAAGGCAGCUCGCUGGGACGUUACUGACGCUGAGACGCGAAAGCGUGGGGAGCAAACAGG